rnacentral:rRNA from 1 species
UACGGGGGGAGCAAGCGUUGUUCGGAUUUACUGGGCGUAAAGGGCGCGUAGGCGGCGCGACAAGUCACUUGUGAAAUCUCCGGGCUUAACUCGGAACGGUCAAGUGAUACUGUCGUGCUAGAGUACAGAAGGGGCAACUGGAAUUCUCGGUGUAGCGGUGAAAUGCGUAGAUAUCGAGAGGAACACCUGCGGCGAAGGCGGGUUGCUGGGCUGAUACUGACGCUGAGGCGCGAAAGCUAGGGGAGCGAACGGG